AAGAAACCGCCAAGGUUAAAAUCGUCCAUAGCGAGAACAAAACCCCUGAUAAUCAGCACACAAUAACUCAAAAUCAUACCGUAAACCCAAAAUCAAAACAUUGCAUUCUCCUUCUCCAAAACGUUCCCUGCUACUCUCCAUUGCGAUUUCAACUACGAUUCCAUGAAUAUUGAGAAAAGAAGCAAAGCAAACAACGACAGACCACAAGCGAAGAAGAUGAAUCCAGAAAUAGAAUCUGAUGAUGACUUUGAAGGACCAAUAUCAACUCUGAUAAAAAUUAACAAGAAUAGAAAGAGAUUGGUGGUUGAAGAAAGUUCAGAAGAUGAUGACUUUGUUAAGCCACCCCCAAAAAAGAAAAAAAGAUGAGAAGAAAGAAGA